rnacentral:rRNA from 1 species
UACGUAGGGUGCGAGCGUUGUCCGGAAUUACUGGGCGUAAAGGGCUCGUAGGCGGCCAACUAAGUCAUACGUGAAAUCCCUCGGCUUAACCGGGGAACUGCGUCUCGAUACUGGAUGGCUUGAGUUCGGGAGAGGGAUGGCGGAAUUCCAGGUGUAGCGGUGAAAUGCGUAGAUAUCUGGAGGAACACCGGUGGCGAAGGCGGCAUCCUGGACCGAUACUGACGCUGAGGAGCGAAAGCCAGGGGAGCAAACGGG